CCAGACUCCUACGGGAGGCAGCAGUGAGGAAUAUUGGUCAAUGGGCGCUAGCCUGAACCAGCCAAGUAGCGUGAAGGAUGACUGCCCUAUGGGUUGUAAACUUCUUUUAUAUGGGAAUAAAGUGCAGUAUGUAUACUGCUUUGCAUGUACCUUAUGAAUAAGGAUCGGCUAACUCCGUGCCAGCAGCCGCGGUAAUACGGAGGAUGCGAGCGUUAUCCGGAUUUAUUGGGUUUAAAGGGUGCGCAGGCGGAUUUUUAAGUCAGCGGUCAAAUCGUGGGGCUCAACCCCAUCCAGCCGUUGAAACUGGGGAUCUAGAGUGUGCGAGAGGUAUGCGGAAUGCGUGGUGUAGCGGUGAAAUGCAUAGAUAUCACGCAGAACCCCGAUUGCGAAGGCAGCAUACCGGUGCACAACUGACGCUCAGGCACGAAAGCGUGGGUAUCGAACAGGAUUAGAUACCCUAGUAGA
rnacentral:rRNA from 1 species